GGGGAAUAUUGCGCAAUGGGGGCAACCCUGACGCAGCCAUGCCGCGUGAAUGAAGAUGGCCUUCGGGUUGUAAAGUUCUUUCGGUAGCGAGGAAGGCAUUUAGUUUAAUAGACUAGGUGAUUGACGUUAACUACAGAAGAAGCACCGGCUAACUCCGUGCCAGCAGCCGCGGUAAUACGGAGGGUGCGAGCGUUAAUCGGAAUAACUGGGCGUAAAGGGCACGCAGGCGGUGACUUAAGUGAGGUGUGAAAGCCCCGGGCUUAACCUGGGAAUUGCAUUUCAUACUGGGUCGCUAGAGUACUUUAGGGAGGGGUAGAAUUCCACGUGUAGCGGUGAAAUGCGUAGAGAUGUGGAGGAAUACCGAAGGCGAAGGCAGCCCCUUGGGAAUGUACUGACGCUCAUGUGCGAAAGCGUGGGGAGCAAACAGGAUUAGAUACCCUGGUAGUCCACGCUGUAAACGAUGUCGAUUUGGGGGUUGAACUUUGAGUUUGGCGCCCGUAGCUAACGUGAUAAAUCGACCGCCUGGGGAGUACGGCCGCAAGGUUA
rnacentral:rRNA from 1 species